UACGUAGGGUGCAAGCGUUGUUCGGAAUUACUGGGCGUAAAGCGCGCGUAGGCGGGCUUACAAGUCGAUUGUGAAAUCCCUGGGCUUAACCCGGGAACUGCAGUCGAAACUGUAAGUCUUGAGUGCCUGAGAGGAUGGCGGAAUUCCCGGUGUAGAAGUGAAAUUCGUAGAUAUCGGGAAGAACACCUGAGGCGAAGGCGGCUAUCUGGCGGUGCACUGACGCUAAGGCGCGAAAGCGUGGGGAGCAAACAGG
rnacentral:rRNA from 1 species